CCUACGGGUGGCAGCAGUGGGGAAUAUUGGACAAUGGGGGCAACCCUGAUCCAGCCAUGCCGCGUGUGUGAAGAAGGCCCUCGGGUUGUAAAGCACUUUCAGUGAGGAAGAACGCCUGGUGGUUAAUACCCAUCAGGAAAGACAUCACUCACAGAAGAAGCACCGGCUAACUCCGUGCCAGCAGCCGCGGUAAUACGGAGGGUGCGAGCGUUAAUCGGAAUUACUGGGCGUAAAGCGCGCGUAGGUGGCUUGAUAAGCCGGUUGUGAAAGCCCCGGGCUCAACCUGGGAACGGCAUCCGGAACAGUCAAGCUAGGGGUCAGGAGAGGAAAGUAAGAUUCCCGGUGUAGCGGUGAAAUGCGUAGAGAUCGGGAGGAAUACCAGUGGCGAAGGCGGCCUUCUGGACUGACACUGACACUGAGGUGCGAAAGCGUGGGUAGCAAACAGGAUUAGAUACCCCAGUAGUC
rnacentral:rRNA from 1 species